rnacentral:tmRNA from 1 species
GGGGACGAAUAUGGUUUCGACGGGAGUCAUGGUGGUAGCAGUUGCAUGCCGAGGUCCCAGUCACCUCGUAAAAAAACUGGAACGCGUAAAACAAACGCAGAUAAUUACGAUUACGCCUUAGCUGCGUAAUAAUCGCAGCUACGUUCACUUUGUGCUGUGUUCGCUGGACACAAGGAUGAACGUCGAUCACAGCGGACUGGUUGUUUAUAUCGCUCAGGUAUAAACAAUGAAAUUUUACUGAGCUGGAUUGCUUCCGCGUCGUUCUUUGCGCUAAGGAGCAAUCGAGACCUAAACAAAGAACUAUGCAUGUAGAGACGGCUACAGCUGGUCUCUCGGACGUGGGUUCGACUCCCACCGUCUCCACCA